UGAUAGUAGAUGGUUGUGCUUAUCAUAUAUUUCGGUCCUAGAGAAAAUUACUCGGAUAGCCAUUAUCGUAAACACCCGAAGUGAAGACAUUUUCUACGACUACUGCUCAGUCUGGUGAAAGAGCGCGCGGUAUACGGACGUAGUAAGAGAUAGUAAAGCUGUCGCGCAGAUUGAAUCAUAUACAAUUAGCUCUUUUGAGGGCUAGAGAUGAUAGAGGAGAGCCAAUGAAUCGCCUGAAAAGGAAAUCGAUGAAGAAUGGAGAAAUAGUUAAUCAAAGGUGUGAUACAGUAAAGGAAUCGGCGGAAAUAGGGGUUAUAGUUCCAGAAUCGCACAUGGAACAUAGUAGAAGGGAGUGUGCGCAAGCGCAAAGGGAUGAAAACAAAGCUAUUUGGAAAAAUAGCGAUAAUUGCAAUCAUACGGAAAAUAAAGUGCAGAGAUUAAAAGAUUGGGAGAUCGAGAAUAUGAUUACAGAAAAAAGUAUAGAGGAAAUAAUAGGCGUUAACCCGGUGUUGAUAACGGGAAAAGAUUUAGAAAAUAAGGAAAAAGAUAGUGGCGAGGAAUACACGCAAGCGGUAACAGACGAAAUGGGUAGCAAAAAGAAGAAGAAUGCGGGCAAAAGGAAAAGAAGUAAAGGAGGAGACGAAACAAGAGGACAUGAAGCAGAGGAAAACGCAAAAACAGGAAGAAAUAGUCGAAAUGGAAGUAGCCAGCGUGACAUCUGAAUCUUGCUCUGCCAAGGAAAAUUCACUACAACAGACAACAAUGUCAGCUACGAAUUACACGGACGACGAGUCAAAGAGGGAAACGGUACACUUUAAAAACGAUAAGAUUCUGUAUAACUACGUAGGCCCGGACAUACAACCAAACCAAAGAGAGGGCAAGGAAUUUAGAACAGGACACAAAGGUGACUGCAUAAUAUCAGUGAGAGUAAAACAGGAAUACAUGGAAAAGAGAGGAAAGAGAAAUGAUCUCAAAAUAUUAAGCGCACUGGCCAAGGAAAAUUUAAAGCCAGAUAAUUACACUAAGACUGGUUUUAGAACAGCAGACAUCCACUAUAUAGGAAUAGACAGAGCUAAUAAAGUAAUGAGAAAACUUGAUAAUGUAAAAGAAUUAGAGUAUAGAUUACUAGAAAGAAAUAUGAGUAUAAAAGGCGUAGUCACAGACUGGCCGGAUAAGAUCCAAGAACUAGUGAUCGCACUAGAUGAACAUAAAGACAUACAAAAAAUGGAAAGAUUAAUCACAAAAAGAUAUAACAAAACAAUUAAAAAAAUAGAAACCAUAGCCACUGAUAAUAUUGUAAUCACAUUCAGAGGCAAUAGAAUGCCUCAGUUUCUAUCAAUAUAUGAAGGAUUGAGUAAAAUCAAAAUAAGACCAUAUAUUCUUAAUGUAAAACAAUGUUUUAAAUGUUACAGAUUCGGUUAUGUUCAGUCAGUGUGUAGAGAAAAAGAAAGAACCUGCGUAAUUUGUGGAGAGCCAUCACAUGGUAUAUGCGAAAAAACACCAAAAUGUAAGAACUGUAGAGAAACACACAAAGCAAACAGUAAAAUGUGCAAAGAAUUCACAAACCAAAGAAAUAUUCUUAGACAUGCAGCGGAACAAAACAUUUCUAUAACAAAAGCUAAACAAGUAUUGAGACGGCAAUCAACAAGUUACAGAGACGCAGUAAUAAAAGGAAGGGAAAGACAUGUAAAAGAAAUUGAAAAUGAAAACAGAGUAAGUAGCAAGGACCAACGAGUCCGUCAACAACAAGAUAGGACAGCAUAUAUACAAAGAGAAAGAAAUAAAGAGAAGAGCGAAAGACAAUGGAUGGAAGAGGAAAACCAAGAAGAUGAAAGGACCUAUAAACAAAAGAGUGACACAACAUUUCUCAUUAAUAAGGGGAACCAUGAAAUACAUGUAAGAAAGAAAGAAAUCACAAAGAAACAAGAAGGAAAAAAUAUGGUAAUUAAAAGAUUCAAACACAUAAUUCAAAGAAACGACCAGCAGGAGUACUUCCUAGAAGCACUAUUAGAAAUAAUAGAAAUUAUAUAUACAAAAACAAACAAUUUAAUAUCAAAAAAGAAAAGUAAAGAAAGGAAUAAAAUAGAAUAGAAACAAAGACUUAGAAAAGGUUAAGACAAUAAACAAUCAGAGAGGCAAAUAAAAGAAUGAUAUAAACAGUCAAGGGAGAAUCCAACCAUCAAUAAACAGAAGAAAUAGGAAGAACGAUACAUAGCAAGGAAAAAGAUACAGAAAGACCACCAGAUGGCAGUGUGACAACGCGAACGAAGAGUUGGAACAUCUAGUUACUCAGAAUCUAUGACAAAGGACUAGUGGUUUGUUCGCGUCACAUGCCCCAUGUAACGUCCGGGUCUAGGGAUAUUUCUUCUCAAUGUGUGCGUCGCGACGCCUCGGUCGCCUGACCGACGGGGGGCUCUCCUUUCGAAUUUCGGGCAGCCCGCUUACACGAACUCUACCCGGGUAUGGCGAGAGCUUGUUGCCGAUGGAAAACCUUGUGGGAUUUGGUUAGUAUGACCUUGAUGUAGUUAAGAUUAAAAAAUCUGGAUAUAUAUAUAUAUAUAUGUAUAUAUUUAUUAAUAAAACAACGUAUAGGAUUAUUACAUGUAUCACUUAAUUUUCUGGCGGAAAUAUAAUAAUCUGUGCUACUGCAUCACUAUGGUAUUCUGUUGUUGGAUCUAAAGGUUCCAACUCCGGGGAAUCGUGAUCGGAAUCGCUGAGUAUAAUUAUUUCAGGCGCGUUGGACGUUAACUGAUUAUAAUUUUCCAAAGGGACGGUGUCUUCUUGGAACAGAUCAAUGGAAGAGAUUGCUCUUCCUGGCGGAGCGUCUGUGACUGGAGGAGGAAGGGGGGUGUGUUCCAGCGGGUAGCCCACGAAAUUCUCAAUUUCCUCGAAAGCCCGCUCUAGGGCUUUUUGUUGAGCUUUAAGGAUCUUUUCCCUUUUCCUUUUUCCGCGGUGGCGAUUCUUCUUGAUGGUCUACAAAUAAACGCUUGGUUAAGCGAUUGAACGCUUAGUUAAGCAUUUUUCUACGUCAAGGGAAAUUAGGGCCGUCGAGUAUAUUCGUGCUUGUGAAUGAUUAACUAACUUAUAUCGCUGGCAAGCGAUAGAACGCUCGCUAGCGGAAUCUAUGGUUUUGUUCACUUAUAUCGCUGGCGAGCAAUAGAAUGCUCGCUAGCGGAAUCUAUGGUUUUGUUUACUUAUAUCGCUGGUGAGCAACAGAAUGCUCGCUAGCGGAAUCUAUGGUCUUGUUGAGCACGAAUAUACCGGCUUUUCUAAUUUCACCGACGAUAUUUCAAUCAUUGAGCCUACUCACUUUAGGUGUUGUAGAAUUCAUCGCGGGCACAAGGGAGGGGAAAGGGUUGUACCUAGAGGAGUUGUUUCAUAAUUAUUUGGAAGUGGAUCGACAAUUAAUCCUUAUCAAAAGGAUUCCUUAUAAUAUGGCACAGUUCGAUUUCGGAAAAUAUUCUAGGGAGCGAAAAUAAACAAUAAUUAAUUAGUACUCACGAGUUAUAAUAUAGUUUGAAGCAAUAGCUCCAAUUAGAUGGUUGAUGUAGGUUGACGGUUGAAGGUGGUCGCAGAGAUAUGUCGAUGAUGGCAGUCUGUCGGAGCACGCACUGGUUAACUUAAUUGAUAAUGAGUUGAUCGCGAAACUAUACAAGAGAGGUUGCAGAUAACUUGAAGAUUGAAGAGUGACGCGUGACCGAAAACUAGUGACUGAACUAAUAAGUAUGCUGAACGAGUGUCGAAAAAUAAUGAGUGAAUGAAUGAAUGAUCCGGCGUCUGUGCGCGGAUUUAAAUAGGGCGCGGACAAAGGGAUCGAGCAAAAUCGGCGCUGCGCUCAGCGGCCGCUAGCGCUCCGGAGUAGGGAACACGCGCGAAGCGCAAGAGUCGGUAAGAGUGGGAGUGAUUCGGCGGCUUGGCGGGAACCGAGUUUCGGGGGCCGCUGAUAAGGCGCGUGAGACCGUCUGCACGUGUGCGGAUGUUUAUUGGAGAUAUCUCGUCUAGGAUUUCGUCGAUCAUUUGAUCCGGAAUAUUUUUCGGCUAGGAUCGCUUUCACUACCAAAUAUCUCGCCGUUUUAUCAAUCUUAAUUAUUUCUUGGGCGCGACAUCUCGUCGCCAACGUGAAAUCUUACGGACUGUUUAUGUUAAAUGCCUAACUAUGGUUCACCUGAUCUUCCGACACGCAGUCCGGAUAUUACGCGGAUUAAUUUCGUAUUGUAUUUCUUUAGGCGCGACAUCCUGUCGCCGUCGUGUUGAUAAUAGCAGAUUUUGUUUUAGAACCGUUCCGUUUGAAUCUUUGAGGAUUCAGUUGACGAGAUAUCAUUUCUUUAAUCAUCCGACAGUGCACGUGCAAGGGCCUUUACAAAUAUCCGGUUCUUAUUUAUCUUACAGUUAAUUAAUCCUCGACGAACCCAUAAGCAAUACGAGAGUAAGAAUUUAGAAGUUUAAACGAUCCGGUUGCCUAUGCGUUCGUAUCGAUAAGAGAGUUAAAAUAAUGCUAGAUAACUUAAAGUAUACGUAUAUGUAAUAUAUGAUUUUGAUAUAUAUAUGUACGUAAUUUUAAAGUACGAUUAAGUGCUUAAUAUUUGAAUUAUUAUUAUAUAAUGACGACUUAAACGAAAGUAAGAAUGAGCCAUAGAAACGCAUUACUGAGUAAGGUAACUCAGCGCGCAUGCAUCUGGACAAGUUUCGCGAGAAAACUUUUGGACAAAAUUUUCCGGACGCUGGGACGUUACACCCAACAUGCUCCUAUUUACCCCAACGCACUCCAAUACGUUGAUUCCGAUGACGCCAACCUAUUAGAAUGCGUUGGAGUGAGUAGGAGCAUGUCGGAGCAUGGCGACGCGAACAAACCAUAGGAGACGAGAAAAGGAAACUAAAGGUGGAAGCACAUAAAAUUACAGGAGCCAUAAUGCCCAGUCUACAAUGAGUCGUUGGUCGUUGGUCGUAAGAAAUUUAACCAAUUAUGUUCGGUUAUUCUUCUCUAAGAUCAACUGUGAUUGGUUAAAUUUCUUACGACCAACGACCAACGACUCAUUGUAGACUGGGCAUAAGGCAGAAUGCAGAAGCCAUAGCGCAUGCGCUAUAGUAUUACAUUUUGUCAUGGACAGAUAAAGUAAUACCAUAGCGCAUGCGCUAUGGCUUCUGCAUUCUGCCUUACGGCUCCUGUAAUUUUAUGUGCUUCCACCUUAACUGAACCCGGAACCCAGAACGGAUAGAAUUUCAAGAUAAUAUAUAUCAGGUCAUAAAGUGCAAGAACAAUACAACGAGUGCAGCAGGAUACUGUGCCUGCAAGGGCAAGAUACAUACGUGUCUCAUAUCUGCAUCAGAUUUGACACAUUAAACCUCCAAAAAAAAAAAAAAAAUACGACUACUGCUACGGCCUACGACUCUCCAUUGUAGAUGCCCUUAAACCUCCCCCACCCCCAAAAAAAACAUGCUCUCUAGUGAUCUCUAGCAAAUUGAUUAUCUACGAGAAAAAUCAGAGAGAAAAAAACGGAGAAUUGUGUAACAAAAAUUGGAUGAGUGUUACGUAGAAAAAUAUAAGAUACAAAUUUAAAUUUACCUGCAUCGAUAAUGUCAUCUUGCGAGAAAAAAUUAUUCUUAUCGUAAACAUGAUAUUGAAUCAUAUCGAAUAUGAAUACGUAGCACUUGUUACGUGGCAAUGUAUCGAAAUAUCUUAUUAUUUUGACUAGUAUGGUGGUGGUUAAUAAUUUAUUCA